UACGUAGGAUGCAAGCGUUGUCCGGAAUUAUUGGGCGUAAAGAGCGCGCAGGCGGUCUAUCAAGUCAGAUGUGAAAUAUCCCGGCUUAACCGGGAGGGGUCAUUUGAAACUGGUAGACUAGAGUACAGCAGAGGAUAGCGGAAUUCCCGGUGUAGUGGUGAAAUGCGUAGAUAUCGGGAGGAACACCAGUGGCGAAGGCGGCUAUCUGGGGCUGAAACUGACGCUGAGGCGCGAAGGCUGAGGGGAGCAAACAGGGAUUAAG
rnacentral:rRNA from 1 species